UACGGAGGGUGCGAGCGUUGUCCGGAAUCACUGGGCGUAAAGGGCGCGUAGGCGGCUUGGGAAGUCUGUGGUGAAAGCUCGUGGCUCAACUGCGAGUCGGCCAUAGAUACUCCUAAGCUCGAGUCGACUAGAGGCAGAUGGAAUUCCGGGUGUAGCGGUGGAAUGCGCAGAUAUCAGGAAGAACACCCGUGGCGAAGGCGGCUCUCUGGAACGCAACUGACGCUGAGACGCGAAAGCGUGGGGAGCAAACAGG
rnacentral:rRNA from 1 species